rnacentral:rRNA from 1 species
GCUUGUCUCAAAGAUUAAGCCAUGCAUGUCUAAGUAUAAACUGCUUAUACUGUGAAACUGCGAAUGGCUCAUUAAAUCAGUUAUAGUUUAUUUGAUGGUUCUUGCUACUUGGAUAACCGUAGUAAUUCUAGAGCUAAUACAUGCACAAAAUCCCGACUUACGAAGGGAUGUAUUUAUUAGAUACAAACCAACAUCGUGGUGAUUCAUAAUAACUUUCAGAUCGAUCGCAAGAUCGAUGCAUCAUUCAAGUUUCUGCCCUAUCAGCUUUGGAUGGUAGGGUAUUGGCCUACCAUGGCUUUAACGGGUAACGGAGAAUUAGGGUUCGAUUCCGGAGAGGGAGCCUGAGAAACGGCUACCACAUCCAAGGAAGGCAGCAGG